rnacentral:tRNA from 1 species
GGCGGGAUAGCUCAGUUGGUAAGAGCGUAGCAUUCAUAACGCUAAGGUCCUGGGUCCGAAUCCCAGUCCCGCUA